CAUCAGUAGUGAUUCUGACAAGGCAGGAGGAAGCCUCCCUAAACCUUGAAAAGAUUACUGCUAUCCAGAGAAACAUCUAGAAAACAUAAAAAUGGCAGCUGUUCCAUCAGCUGGAUGUCUGCUUGCAAAAAACCAGUUCUACAGAACAAGAUUCGGCUCCAUCUCAAGCAAUUCAUCAACAAGUUCAUCAACGUGUUGUGAUCUUGUGGGAGAUCCAGAAAAGAUUCCCACGCCACAUGGUAUACAUAUACCAUUUGAGAAGUGCUGGUGGCUGAAGAAGUUUUUAACAUGUGAUGUGGUGCAUCAUAAUAUCACAGAACCUUCAGUUUUAAAUGGUGCUAACAGUUAAUCUCUGUGCUACUGAUGGGUGUAUCAAUGUAGAAACCGGGCUAUGCUGCGUGUCUCAGACCACCAUCUCCCCUCAUAGAGGCUACAGCACUUAUGGGAAUAAUGAGGUUGAAGGUUCCAACCCCCCACAAAAAUGGUUUUCUUUGGUUGCCAAGUAUCAUGUGAAAAUGUUCGAUAACAUUUGUCUGCGAGUCAAAGAUUAGUUCUUUUGCAUGGUCUAACUUAUUCUUGGGUGGUUUUGAAACACCAUAUUUUUCUUGUCAAAAUGCACCACUCAAGCAUGAAAAAGAGCAAAACAAAAAACAAAAGUGUGUGUCUUGGUUGGGACUAGUGAAAUUAAUUAGCUGGUACAGAUGAAUGAUAAAAUGUAAAAAUGCGAACUGACACCAGUCACUGAACAGACCCGAGAUUUAUUUAAAAAAAAUGUUUUGGAGUUAACCUACAUUUUAAGGCCAUGAAGUGCUGUAAUAUGCAUAAACUGCCAUUCACUUAGGUUUAUUGGACUUUAUGAAGCAGAUUUUUUAUUUUUUUUCUGAAUAUCUGUUUAAUGUCAGGAGGUUUGCAAUUUAAGGCUUCAGGUUAAUACAUGUUUCUGCUCUCAAUUAGCACAUGACCUUGAAAAUUAUAUUUGCAUAUUUGCUGGAGUGAAAAGGAGUGCAUUAUAAUAUUUUGUCAUUUCUUUGGUUUGGUUAUUUCUGAGGAUUCAGUCAGUACUUAUACCUCUUUAAUUCCCUUUUUGUGAUGAAACUUUGGAAAUUUUUGUAUUUUUUGUAAUAUACAGUAUGUUAUGCAUGUCUAUUUGUUUAUAAUGUUUAUUUGGUGAAACAUUUUCAAAUAAUAUAUUGAAGGCCCGCUCAGUAAUUUCCACAGAACAUUUGAUUGGUUAUUGACACAAAUUACGUGGAUGGAAAAUAAGUGCCUUGUGGAUCAUAAUGCUCAUAGUCUUGCACUGGUGGCUUGGUAACCUGGGCAACAGCUUGAACCUGGGCCCACUGAACUCUAUGUUACUGGGCCUUUAUUACUGCUGCAGUUGGCAUAAGGAUUCUGUGGCAAGGUCAAGUACAUCUGAGGUAGUUAGGCAUGGUUAACUGUUCUUUUUGACAUCUUACCUGACAAGUUAGUGCUUUGAAUUGAGUGUUUCUUCCCAUGGUUAAGACUCCAAAACAUCCAUUAUUAAACACAAAAUGUAAUGUGAAAAAAUUUUAAUUUUUCCUUUUGAAGUGCCUUUUUUGAGGGUCUUUACCAUUAUUUUUAUUAGCACAAUAAUGAAAUACUAUACUAUACUAUACUAUACUAUACUAUACUAUACUAUACUAUAAUCUUUGUCUUUUUAGCAUAAGCCAUUAGCAUUUUAUUAGCAACCAUAAUUUACUGAGUGGGCCUUUAAUAGGGUCAACCUCCAACACAUAAAAUGGAAUCUUAUAAAUGGUUUACUGGUUUAUGCUGGAAGUGCAUUGUAUAGUUAUCUGAAUCACCGUGUUAACCAGUGCACUCAAUGAUCAAAUUCAUGUGCAUUUAUGGUAUAUCCUUUCUACCAGUGUUAGAACCAUAGUCUAGUUCUGAAUGUGCAGGGCACCAUAACUCAUCCAAUAGCAUAAUAGCAUUUAACAAGCACAUUACAUGAGUGCAUUAGGCUUAAUAUGGAUCUUGCUUUGCUGUUUGUAAUGUAGAACUGAGAAGUACAUUUCAUGCAGUAAACCUAUUUUUGGAGAGAAUUUGAUUUAUUGCAGUGUGCAAACUAUAAAUCAGUGAUUUAUCAUAGCCUGGCAGAGUUCUAAGCUGACUGUUUUGCUUAUUACCAGGUAAGCCAUCAGUAGUAGUAUUGUGCUACUAAAGAUAAAAAUGUUGUCAGUUUGACAGAAAAUGCAUCCAGUUAAAGACAUGUACAAUUUAAGAACAAACAGUUAUUCCAUGAAAAAGGCAAAAAUGCCUGUAAUUUAAGAAUGUCUAAAAAUUUAACUGUAGAGGGUGCAUAGAUGAAAAGUUGUAAUAUUUCAAUAUUUUUUGUAUUACUUGUUUUUCACAUUUUGUACGAAAGCAAUAAAAUCUUUUUUGCAAUUUC